AGGUCGCCCGCCAGAGGAAUAUUGUCGACUUCAAAUGGAGUCUCCCAAAAUGUUCUGAUAUUCCGCUCAAGUACAUCAUCACCAUAUAUAUCAGAAAACUUGCUGACAUAAACAAAUGUUCAACAGAAGGAAGGGGUUUGAUAAUGAAAUGUGUUCAUCAAAGUGUGGAAAUAGAACUUGAUAAAGUACCUCUGUCAGAAAAUACUGGGAGAUGUUAUCAUUUUAUAACCGACCAACCACAACUACCACAGAAAUUACAACUGGGUCUAGUGCUGUCCAAAGAUGAGCUAAUUAUAUCGCUGCGGAAAACUAGCAGAAAUAUUGGUGCAAGUUUGUUUCAUACCGCCCAGCCUCCAAUUUGAAAGCUGUCGAGAGCUCCCGUCGUCACCGUCUGGCGAAUUUUUGACGAGCUUGGAAUUUUGCCCUCCCGUUUUUAUACUGGGUGAGCAAAGUUUCAGGUGUGUUGAAGGUUUGCGUUUCUGCCAACUGAUGAGAGCUUUUUUGAAGUAAAUUUGGAACGUUAUGAUGAAAACUCUAGUUUAGUAAAUCAAUGUAUUAUUCCAUUUUGUAAUAUCGAUCCUGGUACGAAAAGAGGCAUCUUAAAUUUCAGUUGGUCCUCCCCAGUAUCUCAUUUUAUUGUUGUAGAGUUUGUCCAACUCAAAAUUUGCCGGUAAAAAUUUCCGAAGAUGAAUAAA